UGGGGAAUUUUGGACAAUGGGGGCAACCCUGAUCCAGCAACACCGCGUGAUGGAUGAAGGCCUUUUGGUCGUAAACAUCUUUUUUGAGGGAAUAAAUAUGAAGGUACCUCAAGAAUAAGCAUCGGCUAACUACGUGCCAGCAGCCGCGGUAAGACGUAGGAUGCAAACGUUAUCCGGAAUUAUUGGGCGUAAAGAGUUCGUAGGCGAACUGUUAAGUAGAACAUUAAAGACUCGGGCUUAACCUGAGGAAGGUGCUCUAAACUGGCAGAAUAGAGUUUGGCAGAGGCAAGUAGAAUUCUGUGUGUAGGGGUAAUAUCCGUAGAUAUACAGAGGUAUACCAAAAGCGAAGGCAGCUUGCUGGGCCAUUACUGACGCUCAAGAACGAAAGCGUGGGGAGCAAACAGG
rnacentral:rRNA from 1 species